rnacentral:rRNA from 1 species
GAUGAACGCUGGCGGCGUGCUUAACACAUGCAAGUCGAACGGAAAGGCCUCUGCUUGCAGGGGUACUCGAGUGGCGAACGGGUGAGUAACACGUGGGUGAUCUGCCCUGCACUUCGGGAUAAGCCUGGGAAACUGGGUCUAAUACCGGAUAGGACAAUGGUUUGGAUGCUGUUGUGGAAAGUUUUUCGGUGUGGGAUGAGCUCGCGGCCUAUCAGCUUGUUGGUGGGGUAAUGGUCUACCAAGGCGUCGACGGGUAGCCGGCCUGAGAGGGUGUACGGCCACAUUGGGACUGAGAUACGGCCCAGACUCCGACGGGAGGCAGCAGUGGGGAAUAUUGCACAAUGGGCGCAAGCCUGAUGCAGCGACGCCGCGUGGGGGAUGACGGCCUUCGGGUUGUAAACUCCUUUCGCUAGGGACGAAGCGUUUUUGUGACGGUACCUGGAGAAGAAGCACCGGCUAACUACGUG